rnacentral:rRNA from 1 species
CAAUAGCGUAUAUUAAAGUUGUUGCAGUUAAAAGCUCGUAGUUGGAUUUCAGAGUGAGCUCAGACGGUCGGCCUAAUGGGUCAGAACUGGUUGACUCUCUCUUGCUUGUGGAUCCCGCCCGGAGUUAACUCUUCGGAUGUGGACUCCACAUCGUUUACCUUGAAAAAUUAGAGUGUUCAAAGCAGGCGUUUGCUUGAAUAUAUUAGCAUGGAAUAAUGGAAUAGGACUCUGUUCCUAUUUUGUUGGUUUUAAGGACCAGAGUAAUGAUUAAUAGGGAUAGUUGGGGCAGUUCAUAUUUCAUUGUCAGAGGUGAAAUUCUUGGAUUUAUGAAAGAUGAACUUCUGCGAAAGCAUUUGCCAAGGAUGUUUUCAUUAAUCAAGAACGAAAGUUAGGGGAUCGAAGAUGAUUAGAU